rnacentral:tRNA from 1 species
UAUGUGUUGGUGUAUAAAGCACGAGAGUUUUUGAUACUUUAGGGUUUAGUGAGAGCCUAUUACAUGUAA